rnacentral:misc_RNA from 1 species
UUUGCUGAGUCCGUGCAGACGUA